GACAUCGUGGCCGAGUGGUUAAGGCGAUGGAUUGCUAAUCCAUUGAUCAUUGAUCGCGCGUGUUCGAAUCACGUCGAUGUGC
rnacentral:tRNA from 1 species